rnacentral:rRNA from 1 species
GACGACCGGCGCACGGGUGCGUAACGCGUAUACAACUUGCCCUUUACUGGAGGAUAGCCCGGAGAAAUUCGGAUUAAUACUCCAUAGCAUCAUAAUAUGGCAUCAUAUAAUGAUUAAAGGUGACGGUUAUGGAUGGGCAUGCGUGACAUUAGCUAGAUGGUAAGGUAACGGCUUACCAUGGCAACGAUGUCUAGGGGUUCUUAAAGGAUGGUCCCCCACACUGGUACUGAGACACGGACCAGACUCCUACGGGAGGCAGCAGUGAGGAAUAUUGGUCAAUGGGCGCAAGCCUGAUCCAGCCAUGCCGCGUGCAGGAAGACGGCCCUAUGGGUUGUAAACUGCUUUUAUACAGGAAGAAACCUUCUCACGUGUGAGAAGCUGACGGUACUGUAAGAAUAAGCACCGGCUAACUCCGUGCCAGCAGCCGCGGUAAUACGGAGGGUGCAAGCGUUAUCCGGAAUCAUUGGGUUUAAAGGGUCCGUAGGCGGCUUAUUAAGUCAGAGGUGAAAUCCCACAGCUUAACUGUGGAACUGCCUUUGAUACUGGUAGGCUUGAGUUAUAAGGAAGUAGAUAGAAUAUGUAGUGUAGCGGUGAAAUGCAUAGAUAUUACAUAGAAUACCGAUUGCGAAGGCAGCUUACUAAACUAUUAUUGACGCUGAUGUACGAAAGCGUGGGGAGCGAACAGGAUUAGAUACCCUGGUAGUCCACGCCGUAAACGAUGAUCACACACUCGUUGUUGCUUUAUUUCAGUGGCUAAGCGAAAGUGAUAAGUGUCCCACCUGGGGAGUACGGUCGCAAGAUUGAAACUCAAAGGAAUUGACGGGGGCCCGCACAAGCGGUGGAGCAUGUGGUUUAAUUCGAUGAUACGCGAGGAACCUUACCAGGGCUUAAAUGUAGAUUGCAUAGAGUAGAGAUAUUCUUUUCUUCGGACUAUUUACAAGGUGCUGCAUGGUUGUCGUCAGCUCGUGCCGUGAGGUGUCAGGUUAAGUCCUAUAACGAGCGCAACCCCUAUUUUUAGUUGCUAACAGGUUAAGCUGAGGCCUCUAAAGAGACUGCAGGUGCAAACCGUGAGGAAGGUGGGGAUGACGUCAAAUCAUCACGGCCCUUACGUCCUGGGCUACACACGUGCUACAAUGGUAUGGACAGAGAGCAGCCACCUGGCGACAGGGAGCGAAUCUAUAAAGUAUAUCACAGUUCGGAUCGGAGUCUGCAACUCGACUCCGUGAAGCUUGAAUCGCUAGUAAUCGGAUAUCAGCCAUGAUCCGGUGAAUACGUUCCCGGGC